ACAAUGUUUAAGUUAUUUGAUUUGUUUUUGAGUGAUUUCUUGACUUCACUUUGUCUUUUGCAAAGGUAUGGGAAAGACAAACGACGCUGCAGGCACUUCUCGAGCACGCACGAGCACUUCCGGAGCACCGACAAAAGAAGAUCCUAACAAGCGUCCUGUUACCGGCAUAUGAGAUAGGGAAGACACAAAGCUACUGGCAGCUUUGAAGCAUAUUGAUGUGCGGCCAACACGAGUCGCUUCCAGACCUUCUCUACAUGUGCUUAGCCUGUACGAUGAUGUUGUAACGGUGUUUCAAACACUUGGUAUGGGACGGUAUUGGGAAAUGGAUGAGGAUGUAUAUCCUAAACUUGUGAAGGAGUUCAUUGCCACAUGUCGCCUCACGUACGCGAAUCCAGAGAACCCGAAAGCGAGUAAAGGAAAACUCACAUUCUUUCUCAACAAACAGCAUUACAGCAAGACAUUGUUUGAGAUCUGCGACAUGUAUGGAUUUACGAAAGGAGAAGCGGUUGAGUUCCCGAAGUUGUCUCUUGUAGUUGCUGAUGACUUUUAGAACACGAUAGCUACAUGAAUAUAUAAGUCGCGCACAGCGAAGAUAACACAUAUCAGGAGUCCUGUUGUGCGAUAUGUUGCGAAGCUUCUCGGUAGCGUUCUAUACUUCAAACCGGUGAUCACUGUUGUGCAAGAGAUCGAGUUACCACUGCUUUUCUAUGGGGUCAAACAUCUACUAGACGCCUACUCCGAUAUUCCAGCUCCCGACACUAAUGUAGCUGCGGUUUUGUGUGACACAUUGGUGAAGAUGAAGAAUAAUGUUCCUACAUCAGCCGCGAAAAGCAUUUUAGCUGGUAUCGCAAUUACUCCAUUGUUCCUUGGCUGCAAUCUAGACCUCUCUAGGGCUUUGUCAUCCAUUAAACGAGAGCGAAUGGACUUGAUCUACCUGAUUCAUACCAGUUUCACCAAGCCAAGAAGUCGACUGUACCAAUUUCUAGGAAGGGACGGUAACACUUAUUUCUGCAGGAUAUCCAACCAGCAUAUUAUUCACUCCUCUCCGCGACGAACCUAGUGUUCAAACCUAACGAGCAGUACCUUGUUACCUAGUGUUAGACUGUCACUUGUCUACUAAUCUAACACGGUCUCAGAAGGGUUAGGAACAAAGUACUGCUCGUUAGGUUCAAACACUAGGUUCGUCGCGGAGAGAAGUGAAGUAAUAUUCUGGUUGGGUAUCGUGCAGAAAUAAGUGUUACCUUCCCUGCCCAGAAAUUGGUACAGUCAACUUCCUGGCUUGGUGAAACUAGUAUGAAUCAGGUAUGUCAAGUCCAUUCGCUCUCGUUUAAUGGAUGACUCAGCCCUAGAGAGGUCUAGAUUGCAGCCGAGGAACAAUGGAGAAGUGCAGUACAAGCUAAAAUGCUCUGCACGGCUGAUGUAGGAACAUUAUUCUUAAUCUUCACCAAUGUGUCACACAAAACCGCAGCUACAUUAGUGUUGGGAGUUGGAAGAUCGAGUAGACGCCUAGUCGAUGUUUGACCCCAUAGAAAAGUAGUGGUAACUCGGUCUCAGGCACAGCUGUGAUCACCGGUUUGAAGUACAGAACGCUACCGAGGAGCUUCAAAAACAUAUCGCACAAUAGGACUCCUAAUAUAUGUUAUCUUCGAUGUGCGCGACUUAUAUGUUUCUGUAGCUAUCGUGUUCCAAAAGUCAUCAGCAACCGCAGGAGACAACUUCGGGAACUCAACCGCUUCUCCUUUCGUAAAUCUAUACAUGUCGCAGAUCUCAAACAAUGUCUUGCUGUAAUGCUGUUUGUUAAGAAAGAAUGUGAGUUUUCCUUGACUCGCUUUCGGUUCUCUGGAUUCGCGUACGUGAGGCGACACGUGGCAAUGAACUCCUUCACAAGUUUAGGAUAUACAUCCUCAUCCAUUUCCCAAUACCGUCCUAUACUGAGUGUUUGAAACACCAUCACGACAUAAUCGUACAUGCCAAGCACAUGUAGAGAAGGUUUGGAAGCGACUCGCGUUGGCCUCACAUCAAUAUGCUUCAAAGCUGCCAGUAGCUUUGUGUCUUCCUUAUCCCAUAUGCCGAUAACAGGACGCUUGUUAGGAUCUUCUUUUGCCGAUGCUCCGGAAGUGCUCGUGCGUGCUCGAGAAGUUCUUGCAGCGUUGUUUGUCUUUCCCAUACCUUUUGCAAAAGAGACAAAGUGAAGUCAAGAAAUCACUCAAAAAUAAAUCAAAGAACUUAAACAUUGUAUUUUAGUUAUUAAAACUAAACAAUGCAUCAUGAAUAAUCAAGUUCUAAGCUCUAAAAUCCGUUUUUCUCAAAGUGUAUGAACAUGUCCGUUUUUUACCAAAGGGGAAAUUUUCAGAUCUCAAAUUAGGCCUUAAUCCAGCAAUUAAAGGCUUAAAAAGGUUUCCAAAACCAUCGUAGACAAUAAGCUAGCAUCAGAUAACCCAUAAACAUCAUGAAAAUUCAAGGAAUUGGAGAUUUAUCACUUUUGAAAACAGAACAAAAAAAGGGAAUGUCGAGCACAUACCUUUGCAGAUCCAGAAAACAAACAGUAGAUAUGGAAAGAGGAAAAGUCUGAUUGAAAUAGGCACCAAAUUUGACAAAAACGACUAAGAAUUGAGAGAGUUAGGGUUUAGUGAUUUUGGUGUUCUUGAUGAACAAAAAACGAAGAAGUUGAAGUGGAGCUCUUGAAUGGCGAAGGAAAACUUGAUCCGGUGAUAAACUGUUCGUCGUUCCGGUUCAAUUUAAGUGGAGUUUGGUUCAAUUCCGGUUAGCAGAAAUCCAAUCGGUUUGGAUUAAUUGAGAUCGAUCUACUGGUGGGAUCGAUCGAUCCCGUUCUGGCUGAUGAUGUUGAAGCUCGAAGGAACGACUGGAUCGAUGAUGUUCUAGCAGAUGAUGUUGACGCAUUGGUAUCGAUCGAUCCCCGGCAACGGCGCCAACUUGAUUGCUCGAGUAAUUGCUCGAUAAACUUAACCGCAAGGUAGUAUAUGCGAGGUCGAUCCACAAGGACCAAAGAUACUCUAAGGAUUUCCGAGACUCGUUCUUAGCUAAAGCAAAAACGUUGUUUGUUUGGUUUUUGAAUUAUAAAUUAAAAUGCAAGAAAAUAAACGAUUAAAAUUAUGGAUUAAAGACAUUGGGCGUUAGGGUAUUUCAAAAGACAAAGAUUAGCAUAAUAAACAAAAUAGAGAAUUCAAUUAUGAAGAAUCGUUCUGAAACAUAAACAUAAUUCUAAACUAACUCUCUCUCGAGAUACUAGCCACUAAAUUUGACUACUCAACUACUAAACUUUCGUUUGUAGUCUCCUAAUUGGCAUUAAUGAGUUGGUUUAUUUAGUUCACAAUGCGUUCUAACGUCAACUUUCGAUGGCUAGAAAUACAAUGCUCAAUUUAUAUUCGUUUAGGCAUUCUAUCGAACACUUUUAAUGCAUAGAAAAACCUAAGUUCUAAAACAAGGUGAUCAAUCCUAUUCUAGCAUUAAGAACACAUAAAUUGAAGAACCUAAAGAUUGAGAAUUCCCUACGACAGCUUAGUUACUAAUUCAUUGACUUCCUACUUAGAACCCUAAAACCCAAUUGUUACUCAGACAUUGCAAUAGAAAUCAAGCAAAGAGAUAUGAAAGAAAACAUGAUUCAAAUAGAAUAAUUAAGAACAGAGUUUAGAAAUCUUCUCCAAAUUGUCAAGAAGGAUGAAUCUCUAAUCCCCAAAAGUGCUUACAGAAAAGUUUUUAGAAAUGUUACUGAAAAAGAAGCGUAAAAAGAUAAAUUAAGUUCCUGGGGUUUUUUAUACCCAAAUACAGAAAAAGACAUAUAAACCCGGUUAAGGAAAUUCGGUCUGGUUAUCGAGAGUGUUGGAUCGAUCGAUCCCGAGCUGGCGGACAUUUUACUUCGGUGGAUGAGUGGUGGAUAGAUCGAUCUCCACCUAGGAUCGAUUGAUCCCGAGCUGGCGGAUGAUUUGUCUUCGACGAUGAGUUUUGGAUCGAUCGAUCUAGUGGUGGGAUCGAUCGAUCCAAUGUUUCUGACCCCGGUUUCUCGAUUCCUGCUAUCGUUUCUUGUCCAAAUGAGCCCGAUAAGUCCCGAAAACAUUUGUGUUCCGCUUAAACACCUAAAACCUGCAAAUGACUCAAGACACAACCGAAAAGACGCAAAAGACAGACUACGACACGACAAACUACUCAAAACUAAGAGACCUAAGACACCAAAAACGCAACAUAUCAUAUAGUUUAGCGUUUAAUUUCAGAGUAGUUAAGCUUAAGGUUCAUAAGGUUUAUCAAUUUGUGAUUACUUGAUGAUUUGGUAGAAUGUGAAUGAUUGCGUAGG
rnacentral:sRNA from 1 species